GGGAGGGUGCAAGCGUUGUUCGGAAUUAUUGGGCGUAAAGCGCGUGUAGGCGGUGCAUGUAAGUCAGGUGUGAAAGCCUUCCGCUUAACGGGAGAAGUGCAUUUGAGACUGCAUGACUAGAGUACGGGAGAGGAGAGUGGAAUUCCCGGAGUAGAGGUGAAAUUCGUAGAUAUCGGGAGGAACACCAGUGGCGAAGGCGGCUCUCUGGCCUAAUACUGACGCUGAGACGCGAAAGCGUGGGGAGCAAACAGGAUUGGAUACCCUGGUAGACCACGCUGUAAACGAUGGGCGCUAGGUGUGGGGGGUUUUUAAUCCCUCCGUGCCGCAGCUAACGCAUUAAGCGCCCCGCCUGGGGAGUACGGCCGCAAGGUUA
rnacentral:rRNA from 1 species